UACAGAGGGGGCAAGCGUUGUUCGGAAUUACUGGGCGUAAAGGGCGCGUAGGCGGCCUGCUAAGUCGAACGUGAAAAUCCCUGGGCUCAACCCAGGAACUGCGUCCGAUACUGGUUGGCUUGAAUCCGGGAGAGGGAUGUGGAAUUCCAGGUGUAGCGGUGAAAUGCGUAGAUAUCUGGAGGAACACCGGUGGCGAAGGCGACAUCCUGGACCGGUAUUGACGCUGAGGCGCGAAAGCUAGGGGAGCAAACGGG
rnacentral:rRNA from 1 species